rnacentral:rRNA from 1 species
UACGGAGGGUGCAAACGUUGCUCGGAAUCAUUGGGCGUAAAGCGCACGUAGGCGGUCCGGUGUGUCGGGUGUGAAAGCCCUCGGCUCAACCGAGGAAGUGCAUUCGAAACUACCGGACUUGAGUAUGGAAGAGGGUCGCGGAAUUCCCGGUGUAGAGGUGAAAUUCGUAGAUAUCGGGGAGGAACACCAGUGGCGAAGGCGGCGACCUGGGCCAAUACUGACGCUGAGGUGCGAAAGCGUGGGGAGCAAACAGG